UUUUUUUUUUUUUUGACAAAAUGGUUUGUUUCAUCCGAGGCUUACAGUGGAAAAAGGCGCAUGCUGAAUUCUGACAUGCAGGGGAGCAUGGGGAGUUCAGAAAGCUUCAAAGAUUUGGGUCUCUCUACAGUCUGGACUCAAAAAUCGACACCCUUGAAUGCUUCACCUGUUCAUCAAAAAACCAACAUCAUAAGUAGAUGCAAAGCUGGAGCAGUACGUUAUCUUAGUUCAAUUCUCAACUUCCAUUGUUCUGGGCUAUUAUAAAAUCUUUCUCUUCGAGAUAAAAUUUAAUUAUGAUUUUUUUUACAUAUAAAUAUUAUUAAAAAAUUA
rnacentral:misc_RNA from 1 species